rnacentral:lncRNA from 1 species
AUACUUGCGCAAUAUGUCUUGGAGAUUUCGAAAAUGGUGAUAUAAUUCGUAUUCUGCCGGAGUGCAACCACGGUUUCCACCGUCAUUGUGUAGAUACCUGGCUCUCCUUCAACUCCUCUUGCCCUAAUUGUCGGCAUUCAUUGGUUGACGCCGAAAGUGCAAUUUCCAUUUCAGUGUCAUAAUCAUUUUUACAAAUAAUAUACAAUCCAAUAAUUCAGCAAAUGAAACUUUAUUUAUUGCAACAAUAAUAUUAAUAAUAUUCAUUUGUCUAUCCAUUUAUUACUUACUGAUCAAUCAAAAUAAUUUUAUUAAGAACACUGUCCAUUAUUUAGGAAAAAAGUUUUAUUAAGAACACUACUGGAGGAUUCAGGCGAACAUCUCGAUGAGUGAAGUGAUGGUUGUCGGAGAUAUAGCUCGUUCUCCUCCAAGGUACCAUUUUUGAACCAUCUCAACCAAAUUAGGGUUUUCGAUCUUGGUAUGUGAUUCUUCUUUCUCUUCGGUUGUGAAUCCGAUCUACGUUUCAAAAAACUCAAAUUCAAAUUAAAACCAUUAAUUAUAUACUUUGAAAUAGAAAAGAGCUUAUCUAAUAUUAGGUAUUCCAGAGUUACAUAAUAUCAAGCUUUUACAUGCGGCCAGACGUUCAUGAGAUGGAUCUAGUAGCACGAAUGCUUAAGGAGCCUAUACGCCGCAUAAAUGUGUUCGUCGGAGUCACAUUCGAGGUUCGCUGAAGGUGGUCGCCGUCUGUCCUAGUCGGUCGCCGGAGGUGGUCGGAGAUGGAGGAAAGGGCCUGAAAAAGAGGUGGGAGGGUAACUGCAAAUUUGAAAGAAAGGAGAAGAAAAUGGGAGAAAAAUGAGAGGUUAUAAUUUCAGUGUCAUAAUCAUUUUUACAAAUAAUAUACAAUCCAAUAAUUCAGCAAAUGAAACUUUAUUUAUUGCAACAAAAUAUUAGAAAAACCACAGAGUGUUCACGCUCUGAUGCCAUGAUGAAGUUUAUAUUCGAUUCAAGCAAACGUACAAGAGAAUCGUGAGAAGUACAGAGUGGCGAUCAGAGAUGAGGGCAAAUCCUAAGUGCAAACCUUAGGGUUUUGGAUGAAUCGACGGGAUGCCAAACGAUUAGAAUAAACAACUUUUUAAGAAAAUAAUAGAGUUUACAAUUUAUACAUAUAGCUAUUGGGUCUGAAGUUAAAUUAAACAAAAGUAAUAUAAAAAUAUAUCUAAAAGUGAUUAAUAAGUGUGAUUAGUGAAAUGUAUUUUAACACAAUAAAUACAUUAAAAUUUAAAAUGCAUAUUUAAAUAAUUAAAUAUUAAACGAAUCGAGCUUAAGGUAUUCGAUUUGGUUUGUUUUUUAACAAACAAAUCAAACACUAUAAUUUUAAACGAUUUCCAUCUCAGUAUCAUAAUCAUUUUUACGUUGUGCAUUGAAGAUUUCGUAAACCCUAUGUUGGUUUCCAGAUGAACUAACGAUAGAAGGAGGUAGGAAAAAAAGGAAUAUAAAACAUAUUGGCCGGUCUUGGCAGAGCCAAAGUUUUAGGAUUUAGUUUUAUUAAUAUAAACAAAGAGUAAAGAUAAACAAAGAACAAAGUUUGAACAAGAUGCUGAGAGCAAAGCUAGAGUUCCUGAAGAACAAAUCAAGAGCAAGCGGAGAGGCUAUCUGAUAAGUCGGUAGAAAAAACCAUUUAUACCUAAGGUUUUAUGCUAAUGUUUGAUGGUUGUCGGAGAGAUAGCUCGUGCACUAUUCUCCAAGGUAUCAUUUUUGAAUCAUCUCAGCCACAUUAGAGUUCUCAAUCUGGAUAUGUGAUUCAUCUUUUCCAAAUAUUAAUUACGUAAAUGGAAAUUACGCACACAGCAAGAUUAGAAUCUUAUUUAAACCAUCGACAACUUUCAUAUAUGUGAUUAAUAUUUAGUUUGCCUAAUUAAAGUAAAUGACUAAUUUCAGACGAAAUAUCGAAAACUAGAUAUUUGAUAUACGUGACCUUGCGAUGUGAUUUUCAAAAGACAAAAAAACUGAUGGAUAAUGUUUCACGUAUGAUAUCUCAUGGAUGAUAUCACAUGGAUGAUAGCUCAAAGGAUACCUGAGGAUGAUAUUGAUUUCACGAGAAUAUUGUUUCCUAUAUAUAUACUUAAUUACCUUGGUGGUAUAGAUUGGAUUUGAAUUGGAAAAAGUCGGCGACCGAGCUUAUCAAGUUCCUUUUCUUCAUAUCGAUCGACUUCCACCAAGCGAUCCCUCAUUGAAUGCUGAAUUGUACCAUACCCCAUGUUGCGCACGAACGGUUUGCCGACACUAAGCAAGCGGCAACAAAAAGGGGAAUUCUUCUAAAAAGUGAAGGGUGAUUUAACAUAUUUGUUUAUUGUAAAUUGAAUUAAUUUCAAGCUUAUUAAAAUAAAUUGUAACUCGUCUUUUUAAAUUGAAACAUGUAUCCUUUGAUAUAAAUGGGUCUGGUCUAGACAAGUUUGUGUCCAUAAGGAAAAUACCUAGAUUCGGACUCAGGCUAGGCCAGAUUCAUGAAAAUAUCCGGUUCUAGUCCUCUUUCAUACUUUAUAUAUUUUCCUCUUAUUUGCAGAAAGAAUAUUAAACCAAUAUGAAUUCGAAUUCCAUCGAUGCUGCCAGAGGUUAUCUAUCGGACUCUUCUGCAUACAUGUCGUCGAUAUCAUCAGUACCACCGCAAUAUAUAGAUCAUUCCAGCUCUUACGGAGAUCUAACAACAAAAAAACUCUUGUUGUCUAUUUUGGAAGUAGUAUCAUUCUUCAUAGUUGUUACAUUUACAUUCCAUUUCAUCGUUUGCCUGGUGACCCGAUAUUGGCAUAGAAUAAUUAAUUUCCGACGUCGGACCCCAGAACAGACAACCAUGAGGGUCGUCGAAACCAGGUUAGAUGAGCAAAUAUUGAGGAAGAUCCCUGUGAAAGUAUUUAGUUUUGAUGCAGACAUUCUGCCGACCAUUGAUACUUGCGCAAUAUGUCUUGGAGAUUUCGAAAAUGGUGAUAUAAUUCGUAUUCUGCCGGAGUGCAACCACGGUUUCCACCGUCAUUGUGUAGAUACCUGGCUCUCCUUCAACUCCUCUUGCCCUAAUUGUCGGCAUUCAUUGGUUGACGCCGAAAGUGCAAUUUCCAUUUCAGUGUCAUAAUCAUUUUUACAAAUAAUAUACAAUCCAAUAAUUCAGCAAAUGAAACUUUAUUUAUUGCAACAAUAAUAUUAAUAAUAUUCAUUUGUC